CUCUGGGCUCUCCGGUUUCCUCCCACAUCCGCAAAGACGUGUGAGAUUGUUGGUUUAUUGGCCCUCUGUGACUUAUAUCUAGUGUGUAGGGAGUGGAUGAGAAAGUAGGAUAACAUAGAACUAGUGUGAACGGGGUGAUUGA